UUUUGCACAAGAAAAAUUGGGUUCAGAAGGUAAAAAUAACCUGGAAAGAAAAACAAAAAUACUGCAUAAUUUUUAAAGCAUUCCUUGAACUCAGAAGGAAUCUUGUAGAAAGCUGAGGGAAUAAAAUCAUCACUAAACUCAAGGCCUAGUGAUUGUAGACUAUUAAUACUACUUGGCUGGUAUAUAAAAUUUUGAGGUUUACAAAUUACUUUAUGUCCAUUAUCUCAUUUGAGCUUCACAAAACCCUUGCAUAUUUUGCUAUCUGAAUUAAUAAUAUAAACUCCUUGAAAGUACAAGUGAUUUCAUUUUUGUCUUUGUAUUCACAAAUUCUAAUCUGGUACAAGUAGGCACUUAAUGAUUGUUGAUAUGCUUUGAUAGAAUUUCCUACAUAGGAAUAUCACAGGUCAGUACACAAUAAAUAAAUAAAUAAGGACAGAUUAAGAGUCCGUAAGAGUCCACUGCACUAUGCAUUGGACAUACAAGUACAAUAUUAAAAGUCUCUGCUUUCUGGGAGUUUACAGGAAUAACACAUUCUGCUUUAUUGGGGGAAGAAAAAAUAAAUCAUUAGAAAGGUUUUAUGAUGCAAUAUCUCUCUAGGAUUGAGUUAUUUUAUUGAAAAGUGUUUGUUGGUUUGGCUUUUCCUCUUCCCCGCUCUUUUCCAAGAGGCAGAACAACAGGAACAUGUAAUGUCAGAGCUGGAAGCAGCCCUCAUUUUACCGAGUUUACAGGGGUGUCUGAGAAGUCUUGCCCAAAGUGCCUCGCUUGGGCCUAGAGACUGUUGAUAAGAAUACAAGCCCCUAACAGACUUCUGGACCUCGCGGCCGCAGCGUUCGAGUACAGACUCUGGCAUGGGACAAAGCACAACGUUCCCCUCUGACAGGUGACUUCUUGGCCCGACCUUGGUUGCUUUACCUUCUCCCGCUCCUUUUUCUUGGGUCCCCAGUUGGGCAGGACGGCGGGACAGCGUGUUUUCAGAGCCUGCAGGACAGGCUGGGCGGAACCUUUGUGGCCCGCGGAACUUUGGUGGGUGGCGUUCCUGUUGCCGGAGGACGCGGAGGAGCAGACCACGGACGCGGCUCGACCGGGCACUGCGCUGGUGGUGGGGCGGGGAAGAUGGCGGCGGCGGCCGUCCCGUCGUCUGGGGCCCAGCUGGUGGACUGGUGCAUUCGCCAGCUGCGGGACACUUUCCGGCUGGAUGUCAACGAAGAUGUCGUGCAGUAUGUUAUGUCAAUUGAAGACCCUGAAGAGAUACGAGAAUAUGUUACAGACCUUCUCCAGGGAAAUGAGGGCAAAAAAGGACAGUUCAUAGAAGAUCUUAUAACCAAGUGGCAGAAGAAUUAUCAAGACUCAGUUUCUGAUCCUCUACAGAUAUACAGAAAAAGAGAUGAUAUUUCAGAUGGCCAGAGACUUGGGGACCAAUUGAAGAAGGGCAGGCGCAAGGGGAGAAACAAGCAGGAGGUUCCUGCAUUUGCUGAACCUGAAUCAACCAUAGAGGAAGUCAAAACACCACUUGAUUUAGCCAAGGCACAGGAGGUCACCAAUUCCUCAAAGAAGAAGACAAAGUAUGUUAACUUGUACACAACAGAGGGACAGGACAGGCUUGCUGUCCUCCUUCCAGGACGACAUCCUUGUGAUUGUUUGGCUCAGAAGCACAAACUCAUCAACAACUGUCUGAUCUGCGGGCGAAUUGUCUGUGAACAGGAAGGUUCUGGACCCUGUUUAUUCUGUGGAUCUCUGGUGUGUACUCGAGAAGAACAGGACAUUCUGCAACGUGAUUCAAACAAGAGCCAGAAGCUUCUGAAGAAGCUCAUGGCAGGAACAGAGAAUUCUGGUAAGGUCGAUUUGUUCAACAAGGAUUUGCUUCCUCAUCAGGAAUCUCGGAUUAAGGGUGGUCUAGAGAAGGCUGUGAAGCAUAAAGACAAGUUGCUGGAGUUUGACCGAACCAGUGUUCGAAGGACCCAAGUCAUUGAUGAUGAAUCCGACUACUUUGCCACAGAUUCCAACCAAUGGUUAUCCAAGGUAGAGCGGGAAGCUCUGCAGAAGAAGGAGCAGGAACUCCGAGAGCUACGCCAUGCUUCCCGCCUCUCUAAGAAGAUUACCAUUGACUUUGCAGGAAGGCAGAUUCUAGAAGAGCAAAACCCCUUAACAGAGUACCACAAUAAAUUGGAUGAGACAAUACAGGCUAUUAACUCAGGAGCCUUGAGUAAAUCCCUAACAAAAUUAGAAGGAUCAUCUGAAGAGCCUUUGGGAGUUCUAGUGAAUCCACACCUAUUCCAGCCUGCACCCUUGUGGGUAGACCAGACAAACUCAGCCCCACAGAGGAAGUCUCUUCUCUCAGCAGGUUCUAAUCUGGAGCUCAGCUCAGAGAGGAGUCGUCUUCGAAUUCAGGACCGAGAAUUUCAGGAAAUUUCUGAUGAUGGCUGGUGCCUUAGCAUGCACCAGCCCUGGGCCUCUCUGCUUAUCAGGGGCAUUAAAAGAGUGGAGGGCAGAACCUGGUACACAUCUCACAGAGGAAGACUAUGGAUAGCUGCAGCUGCCAAAAGACCUUCUUCUCAAGAAAUCUCAGAACUACAGGAUACAUAUCGCCUUCUUCUUGGAAAAGUACCCAGACCUCAGUCAAGAAUCUGAUUCUCCAUUUGUUUUCAUCUGCACAAAUCCCCAAGAAAUGAUCUUGAAGUUUCCUAUCAAAGGAAAACACAAAAUCUGGAAACUGGAUUCCAAGAUCCAUCAAGGAGCAAAGAAAGGGUUAAUGAAGCAGAAAGCCACUGUCUGAGUGAGAAAAGGAAUCCACACUUUGCUAGUGAAGAAUCCAGAGUUGUGUGCUUCCUUUGAAGUGAAGGCAGUAAAAAUCCCCAGGCUGGACUUAAGCAGUGACUCUCUCAGAAUAUAAACUCUUAACAGACUGUCUUAAGUUCUUAGAAGUGUGUGAGGAAUCGAUGGAGGGAAGAUGCUUUCUUCACCCAAUGGACUAAGCCUUGUGUACUGUUUAUUAAAAUAAUUUUAAAAUCUCA